GACCGUUAAAACGGGUGAUUUGGUCAGAGAGGUUAUCCGAUCAGGUCCUUAUCGGUUUGGGCAUAAUGCCAAAAUCUGACUAGGUUGAGCCUUUGGCGAGACCGAACGAAAAAUGCUCUUU
rnacentral:ncRNA from 1 species